GUGAUCACUUUGGCAGCACAUAUACUAAAUUGGAAUGAUACAGAGAAGAUUAGCAUGUUCCCUGUGCAAGGAUGACACACAAAUUUGUGAAAAGUUCCAUAUUUUU
rnacentral:snRNA from 1 species